GACCUGGUGGUGGAUGGCAACACACUUGUUACACAUGGUCGCUUUCUAUAUUGAACAUGAUUGGCAGGGGAUCCCCGUUCGAAUCGGGGUCAGGUCA